rnacentral:rRNA from 1 species
GAUGAACGCUAGCUACAGGCUUAACACAUGCAAGUCGAGGGGAAACGACAUCGAAAGCUUGCUUUUGAUGGGCGUCGACGGGCGCACGGGUGAGUAACGCGUAUCCAACCUGCUCAUCACUUGGGGAUAACCUUGCGAAAGUAAGACUAAUACCCAAUGAUAUCUCUAGAAGACAUCUGAAAGAGAUUAAAGAUUUAUCGGUGAUGGAUGGGGAUGCGUCUGAUUAGCUUGUUGGCGGGGUAACGGCCCACCAAGGCAACGAACAGUAGGGGUUCUGAGAGGAAGGUACCCCACAUCGGAACCGCGACCCAGUCCAAACUGCUACGGGGGGGAGCAGUGAGGAAGAGUGGGCGAGGGGCGAUGGCCUGAACCAGCCAAGUAGCGUGCAGGAAGACGGCCCUAUGGGUGGUAAACUGCUUUUAUAAGGGAAUAACGUGAGAGUCGGGACUCUUUUUGUAUGUACCUUAUGAAUAAGGACCGGCUAAUUCCGUG